GCCCCUAUGGCUUAGUUGGCAGAGCGUCAGUCUUGUAAACUGAAGGUCCCGCGUUCGAUUCGCGGUGGGGGCA
rnacentral:tRNA from 1 species